rnacentral:rRNA from 1 species
UACGGAGGGUGCAAGCGUUGCUCGGAAUUAUUGGGCGUAAAGGGUAGGUAGGUGGUCUCAUUUGUCUGGGGUGAAAGCCUUGAGCUUAACUCAAGAAGUGCCCCGGAAACGGUGAGACUGGAGUCCUGGAGAGGGUCGUGGAAUUCCCGGUGUAGCGGUGAAAUGCGUAGAGAUCGGGAGGAACACCAGAGGCGAAGGCGGCGACCUGGACAGGUACUGACACUCAACUACGAAAGCGUGGGGAGCAAACAGG